AGACAAAAUGACAUGUCACCACAUUGAUAGCCAGAGUUGAUUUGGCUGAUCUGGCUGGCGAGGGGGCAGUCCCCUUCCUCCCUCAUCACUCCAUGUGUGUCCCUCCCAAAGGUGCACACUUGGUGGAGGAGGACAACCUUCCCUGAAAGAGGAGGAUUGUUCUUCACUUGAGGGUAGUUGAGUAGCUGCAUUACACUGCUAGAACCUCCAGACAAGCUUUCAAGGUCCAUUUGUAGGAAAAUGUAGGAUAGUCAAGCUUCUAAGACUCCAGACACAUCCAAAUGAGGUGCUACAUGUGGCAGUCUGCCUUUCUUU
rnacentral:snRNA from 1 species